rnacentral:rRNA from 1 species
GACGAACGCUUGCGGCGUGCCUAAGAAAUGCAAGUCGAACGGAUCACGGGGUAGGCAAUCUUCUGGUUAGUGGCGAACGGUCGCGUAACACGUAAGCAACCUGCCCUAAAGUGGGGGAUAACAGUCCGAAAGGAUUGCUAAUACCGCAUGUGGUCAAGAUUUGGCAUCUUAGUCUUGACUAAAGCCUUGUGCGCUUUAGGAUGGGCUUGCGGCCUAUCAGCUUGUUGGUGGGGAACGGCCUACCAAGGCUUUGACGGGUAGCUGGUCUGAGAGGACGAUCAGCCGGAUUGGGACUGAGAUAC